rnacentral:lncRNA from 1 species
GAUGACAGCUUAAUGAGAGGGGGAGAUAAUACUCCUGCAUUUUCUAUAACUCGUGUGUGCUUUUAUGCCUCUCUGAAAGGCAAAAGUGCAGAUUCACUGUCAAAUAUGUCUCCCGUGGUCCAUCUCAUGCCCACUCGAGAUACUUCCUCCACAAAAAUAGAAGGUAACAGAUAGGCUGCCAGGAAGCAUGGAAUCCACAGGACAGGACACCUUUGACAACACUGUGAGCUACCUCAUUGUGAGCAGAAGUGUGGGAAAUAAAAGACAGAGCAUCCAUAUCAGGUCCAGAGAAACAUUAGACCCUGGAAAAAGCUAAUUCAAACAGCUCUGCUUCUAUGAGUCUAUGCCAUUUACUCCCAUCAAAGACUGGGCUGAGCUGGAAGAGUGA